rnacentral:lncRNA from 1 species
UUUUUUUUUCUGUAAUGUGUGUUCUCACCACAUAGAAGUUUUUACAUUUUUAUGUAGUCAGAUUUAUUCAUGUUUUUAUUUAUGGUUAUGUUAAAGAUUAUAGCUAUUAGGGACCUAUUUCUUCAGGGUUUAUAAUUUAUGUAUGUUGUUACAAAUAGAGAAAUUACUUUUUCUUUGACCCAAUAGGUAGAGGGCACUUUUGUGGACUCAGAAAGCUUGCCUCUCCUAUUUUAUUUUAGGAAAAUUUCUGAGAUUCUGCCUCCUCAUUUCCAAGCCAGAGUUUAAAAUAUUUACAUUUUUACUUCAUAGUGUUAAGACAUUGUGUAAUGUAAGUAUAAUGUGUAAAAAAAAAUCUUAAAAAUCUAAUAGUGAUUUGGCAGAGACCAAAGCAUGGAGGGCCUUGAAAUGCUGCUCUAUUUGUUAUCUAUUAUUAUAAAGCAACUACCAUAAACUUAAUAUCUUAAAACAGCACCCAUUUACUUAGG